UCUAAUAUGGCAGAUUAGUGCAAUAGAUUUAAGCUCUAUAUAAAAGUGUGAGAAUCACUUUAUUAGAA
rnacentral:tRNA from 1 species